rnacentral:sRNA from 1 species
AAGUUAUCUUUGAGUGAUACUGAUCACCAAUGUUUAUUUUAGAGACAUGCAUUCUGAUCUGACAUUCAGGUAUUAUAAAAUCAGUUGUGCGAUCAGGUCCUGUUAUCUUGAGGUUUUUGCAUGUGAUUUCCCUUCUGUCCUUCUGCCCAUGUAAUAACACCAUGGCAGUCCCAUGCAGAAUUUUACUGGAAUUAAGAUUUAUCUUGUAGUGGCUUGGUUCAAGAUGUUGCAGAUAUAUUACCUGGAGGGUUCCUUUGGUUCAUGAUCCAGUGCUCUUCUUUGAAAUUUGGAGGUAUUUUUCAUGCUCUGCCGUUUCUAUUGUGCAUUCUACACCAUGAGUGUUUCUGCUAUUGCAGAGUAACCAGAGGAUCAACAGCUCAGGCAUCACGUGUUACUUGUAUACUUGUUACUUGUAUGAUGAGUAUUCUUUGUACUGGGGUAGAAAAGCAUCAUUAACAGCUAAGAGAAAUCAGACUAGAGAGAGAAAGAAGCAUGGUGGGAGACACAAAACAAGAGAGGAGGGGAAAACCAAUGAUGUUGGAGUGAGAUCCAUGGGGAAUCCGAAAACCCAGAUGGUCACGGUGUGAAAAAAGAGAGAGGCAAUGUCUGGAGAGAGAAUUGUUGCUGCCAAUAUCAAGUUGAUAUAAAGAACCAAGUUCUUGGGAGUAUACCGUUUUGCAGUGCUUUUAGUUUGAAUCCAGCGGCUGUAUCAAGGUUUGUUUUCAAAGCUAUUAAAAUUUGGAUCACAUUUCCUUGAAAUCUUCUUGUUGUAACAAGGAAGCUGGGAGUAGCAGAGGUUCACUGAAAUCUGCUAACUGUUCAAACUAUUAGUUCAGAGAAUCUCUCUGCCAGGUGACCUGUACAGAGGUCAAGAUAAAUUAGCAGUGUCUCGCUCCCUCCUUCGGACAUGGCAGCAUAGCAUUACUGGUUUCUUUUGAAUUUGACGAUUAUCAUCCAAGGUAUCAACCUUUUAAAUCCUUCAUGAGCUCUUCUAGUCUUGUUAAUAUAAAAGACCAAAUUAUGUUUUAGUUAAUCCAAUCCUAUGUACAUAUGGAGAAAGAGGAGGUAGAAAUAAGUACAUUAAUUACAUGAAAAUGUUGAAAUCAAGUUAUAAACUAGGACAUAUUGUGAGUGAUACUCGGCAGUUGAGAAUAGUUUUACCUUGAAUCUGUACCAAAAGAUAGAACCGCUCUCUAAUUAUUUACUAAUAUACUAAUAUUGCACUCUUUGGCUGACACCAUAAAGGACUUUUUCUUGAUGUUAGAAUUUUAUUAUAAAACAUACAUAAUAUAUAUUUGAAAAUUUACUUUCGUGGUCUCCUAUUUUUUGCUAGAAAUGAAGAGUUAAAAGAGGUGGUCUUGGAAACUUCAUUUAAUUCAGGAACGGAAUAGGAAUAGGAAUAGUUAAGACUGACUUUUGAUGUUUUUAAGACUUAUUCUAGGUGGAAAAGGAAAAUAGAAAUCUAGGUCUGCUGCUGUGAUGUUUUGCUUACCAAGGAAAAGGCGACUAGUAUUUGUCAGUACCCAAUCCAGGGACAGGUAAUUCCAGGAUUGUUCUCUUAAUUUCCCUUCUACUUUUGUCGUAUUUGUACGCAGUUUAGAUUGCAAGGCUGCCUUAUUCCGUUGGAUUACCACAUGCUCUUUGCUAAAAUUUAUAUCAAUGAUAUCGUUGUGAAGAAGGUGAGCGUCGGAUUGGAUUUUCGGCAGGCUUUUUCAAUGUUUACACUUAAUGUGAAUAUUGUGGUCUGAAACACAUAAGCACGUACCCAUCGUUAUCAACCUUAUCCGUAUUUCCCAAUUCUCAAUAAAAGAAUAAGAAAAAAAACCCAUUCUUCCACAUGAUUAUUUUCUGUCAGUCCAGGUUCCCCAUUCCUGAUUUGUGGUGCUUCCCAUCAAGUGAUAAAUCGAACCAAAAAUUUCUACACCAAACUCGAGUAUUCACUUCCCUUGCCUUAUUUCUCUUUGGUUUUUGUUUAUAUCAAUUAUGGUUUAUAUGUAUGAAAUCUACAAACUCAAAUGUUGCAGCGGAUUAAACAUUUCUCUUUGUAGUUAAAACAGUGAAUAAAACCGGUCACAC